GUGAAAGUGGGAGUAUUUUCAUAACGUCGGUUAAAACAAAGAUAUACUACCUGAGGACCUAUUGCAAUUCACACAAGACAAAAAGGAGGAGGACAGUCGUCCAUGAGGAGUAGGCCAGAUGUCUCCCACCUGCUCCAGCUGAGCUGAGCUCCAUGUUGGACUGCUGCAGCAUCCAACCUGAGAUCCAGCCACGCACUACUCGCUGUUCCACAUCUUUAACUUGUCCCGCGGAUCUUUUUUGAUGUAUGACUACGUGCUGGUGGUGGCCAAGUUAAACUACAGCUCAUGUAACAGCAGGAUGGUGAUCUGUUCUGAUAAGAAAGACAAUGAAGACAUCAUGAAAGGGGAUUAUAAAGACACGAAGUCAAUGAGAAGGAAAUAAUGGAAGUAAGAAAUGCAUGUGAGACACAAUGAGAUAAAAAGUAAAGUGGGAUACAAUCAUGAUGAAGUGCAGUUGAGACUGAGUGAAUGGUUGAAAGAACAGAAUCAGGUCAAGAAUGAGAAGGCCUCGUACUGCACUGUAGUGUCAUUUAGAUUUAUGCAUGUUUAAGACAAAAUCGAAAACAGUCUGAGGGAAACCUCGUCUGUGAGAUAAAGUGAGUUGACUUUGUGUGUGUGUUUGCCCAUAAGGAAGA